rnacentral:lncRNA from 1 species
CUCGCACCCACGCGGCCAUCGGGCCCUUGAAAUGUGGCCGGUCCAAACGGACAUGUGCUGUAAGCAUAAAAUACACGCCGGAUUUCAAAGUGCCUAUUAGAAAAUGUAAAACUACACAUGUGGCUCACGUUGCAUUUCUACUGGACAGCGCUGCCGUGGACGUCCCUUCAAGCCUGCAUUUAAACAUCACCUCCGCGAAGCCUGCCUGGCUGCCCCAGGUGAGCCCAAGUCCCCCUGGUGCACGCCUACCCACAGGGCACCUGGUCCUGGGGUCUUGCUGCUUUUUAUGUGAGUUGAGGAGCUCUGUCCCCACAAGUCCUUUCUGUCCCACAGGUCUGGGUGGGAACAGGGACUCAGGUGGAGGAUGCCCAGGGUAGAGUCAGCUGCUAGCGGUUGGUGGGGGUGGGGUGCUGACAUUUGGCCCAGAGGAGGGGGAGUGGGAGGGGGAGGAGGUGUCCUGAUGAACCCCCAGCACGGAGCAUGGCCACCCCGCUGCCCAGGCUUAGUCCUGGUCCUGUCCCUCAAGCCCUGUGUGACUUCCGGCCAAUCAUUUCCCACGGCACAGACGAAUCUGAUCUUCUCCUGGGGGAGGGUUUACAAGGACCAAAAAUGCUCUGCACAAGCACAAGACAAACAGUUAAUAUCUUCAACCUACUGAGAACUUUCUAAACUAGUAAGAAAAAGAUGAGCCCGCUUAGAAAGUUGGGGAAAGGACCCCCAACAGGAGACGCAACAAGAGCAACGAACGCAAGCCGCCAAUCCACACGAACGCUGUCCCUUCCAAGUCGUCAAAGACGCACAAAACAAACUGGAAAAAAAUUAAAAAGUCUGUGACGGUCCCCGUGUCGGCAAAGGAGCGGGACGCUGCCAGGCAGGGUGUGUGGGUACAACCUUUCUGGAGAACAGUUUGGCAGUAAAUACCCCCAGUCCUUGACUCAGCAAAUCCACUUCUAGGAAACCAUCCUCAGCCAACAGAGAUCUACACGAGUGUUCAGCUUCAAAGAUGCUACUGCAGCAGCGUUUACAACAAGUGGAAGCAACCUGCGUCUCCAGCAGUGAGGGAUUCCUCUGUCCACACCACGGAAUCUUGUAAACAAUAAUACGUUAUGGCCCGGAUGGAAAUGCACUCACGUGUGACAGAUCCCAACUGGGUGAGGAGAAAAGUCCGUGUACAUCACUGUGUGUUUUAACUGUCUUUUUCAAUCAUAUUUUUUCCUCCAAAUUAUAUAAAGGUUAUCAAAAGUACAUAAUCCAGUAUCUCCUGAAGAAAAACCAGUCUCUGCGGUAUGUAGGUCCUGUGGGGAAAAAGGUCAAAUAAAUGCCUUGAGAGAAUAUCACAAACUAUAACCUCCAAG